rnacentral:lncRNA from 1 species
UAACUGUACUGUGAUGUUUGGUAGUUCGGGCUUUAAUAGUUUACAACGGCCUUAGCUGUAUGCUGUAGAUAAUGACAGCUCUGUAAAAUAUAUUAUUCAGAAGUGUUUUUAACCAAAUGCAGGUCGAUCUUCCUUGGGUGCCUAUGGCCAAAACCCUUUACAGUUUUACUAGAGAUGCUCAGAUCCCUAGAGAACAGAUUACACUAGCUAUUGAGAUAGGUAAGGAGCCAACUGUAUUUUACAGAUACAUGGAAUUCCUAAUCAUAGAUGGUAGGUCCACAUACAAUGAGAUCCUUGGAAGGCCUACUUUAAAAUUGCUAAAAACUAUGACCUUAAUCCACCACCUAUGCUUAAAACUCAAAACUCUAGAAGGGAUAGCCAUAGUCCAAAAAGAACAAGCAACGUGUAUGAGUGCUAUCUCAGUGCUUUAAGGAAAAUAGCACCAAGGGCUUCGCUAAUCAAUACUACCUUGAUUAUUGAAGAAAAAAAUACUAGAAAAACCUCUUGCAGGAAAGCAAACGUCGGAUGCUAUUAAAGAUGAGUUGAAAAAACUCUUAGUCAAUAAAAAUAAUUUUGCAAGUACUGGAGAAAGCAUGAUUGAGAAUUCAUAAAACUAAAGCUAGGUCUAGAAUGUGGUCGCAACAACUCUAUGAAUGAAAAGCUAAAAUCUGAUCCUCUUUCUGCCUACUAUGAAACAUAGGAUAUUGACGAGUUUAAUUCUGCCAAUAUAGAUACCUUUGAAAGUGAGACUCUCUAGGAAAUUCUUGUUUCAUUCAGGAUUUCCUGAUAAUAUCAACUCUGUUCCCAAUUUUUACAUGGAUUCUUCGUAAGUUUGGUGCAUAAACCUUUCUUUUAGCAACUACAUACUUCGCAAUGGAAAAAGUUUAGCCUUGCCCAUUUCUUAAAUUUUCUGAAGUGAAAUUAGUUCAUCAUGUGCCUGGUUAACAUCUUUUAUUUUAAGCAAGUAAUCAAUUUUAGCCUCUGGAGCUCCUUCUUCAACUUCGUAAUUUCAUUGGUCUUUCCAUUCAAAAUAGGCUAUAUUAUCUAAUCGAGUCUGCAUCAAAUUUGAGGUGAACCUCCUG